GAUGAAGAACGCAGUGAAAUGCGAUAAGUAGUGUGAAUUGCAGAAUUCAGUGAAUCAUCGAAUCUUUGAACGCACAUUGCGCCCCUCGGUAUUCCGUGGGGCAUGCCUGUUCGAGCGUCAUUUACCCCUCAAGCACUGCUUGGUGUUGGGCGUCUGUCCCGCUUCGCGCGCGGACUCGCCCCAAAGGUAUUGGCAGCGGUCGUGCCAGCUUCUCGCGCAGCACAUUGCGCUUCUCGAGGCGGUCGAUCGGCGUCCACGAAGCUCACCUCCACCGUUUGACCUCGGAUCAGGUAGGGAUACCCGCUGAACUUAAGCAUAUCAAAAGCGGAGGA
rnacentral:misc_RNA from 1 species